rnacentral:tRNA from 1 species
GGAGAGAUGGCCGAGUCCGGUUGAAGGCGCUCGACUCGAAAUCGAGUAGGGGGUGAUGAGCCUCCUCGGGGGUUCGAAUCCCCCUCUCUCCGCCA